GCCUGGCUAGUUCAGUCGGUAGGGCACGUGACUCUUGAUCUUAGGGUUGUGAGUUCAAGCCCCAUGUUGGGCC
rnacentral:tRNA from 1 species